rnacentral:misc_RNA from 1 species
UGCAAAGUGGUAGCCUAAGCGAUAGUUGAAUUAUCUGGGAAGGUAAGCCAGAGAGGGUGAGAGCCCCGUAAGCGAAAUUGCGUGCGCGCCUAGCAGAAUCCUGAGUAGGCCGGGACACGAGGAAUCCCGGUUGAAGCCGCGAGGACCAUCUCGCAAGGCUAAAUACUAGUUAGUGACCGAUAGUGAACCAGAACCGUGAGGGAAAGG